rnacentral:lncRNA from 1 species
UGGCAAAGAUGCCGGCAGGCGGGCAGGAGGAGGACUGGAGCUGGAGGAGUACACUACACUAGUGCGCCCCGUAGAAUCUCCUUGCCCUGUCCGCUGUCCUCCCCAGUCCAGUCCUGCCCGUGAUCGUCGGGUACCACCGUAGACUUGACAAUUGAAGUCUUCUGAAGGGAUCACGCGUUGGAUCGUGUCACCGAGAAAAAUUCCCCUGUCACCGAAUGCUGACAGGUGUCGGUGUCGAUCUGCUGGACUUUUAACAGCAACAGCCACCCGAAUCUCCUUGCAUUAUUAUUCUCAGCAGCAUCCGCCUCUCUCCAAAAUUCCAAAAGAGAUAAAAGAAAGAUUAUUACUUGUCUCUGUAUAAUCAAUCUACUGGAGUACUCUCUAGCUAGUAUAGUGUAUAUAUAUAUAUACUACUGACCUUAUCUGCGUGCCACACUCUGGUCAACGGCACGCCAUGCGCCCGCGCGGGCCCUGUCAUGAUCGAUCAUGAUCUCCGGUUGGCCCAGAUCGUCAACUCAUCGACGACGAAACACCAUAGUACACACCUAACCUAAUUUAAUGAGAGGUCUGGCUGAUGCGACGAUGCCUAGCUUGCUUGCGAUCUCUCAGAGUUGACCAGACGAUCGAAUGAACUCCUCCUCAGCUCUUCCUGCUGCUGCUGCUGCUGCCGCCGCCGCCGGUGAUGGUAAAGAACACUACGUGUGUACAGCCACAGCAUGGCAAAUCAAGAGUAAAUUAAA